rnacentral:rRNA from 1 species
CCUACGGGAGGCAGCAGUGAGGAAUAUUGGUCAAUGGACGAGAGUCUGAACCAGCCAAGUAGCGUGAAGGAUGACGGCCCUAGGGGUUGUAAACUUCUGUUAUAAAGGAAUAAAACGAGGCACGUGUGCCUUUGUGCAUGUAAUGUAUGAAGAAGGAGAGGCGAAAUCCGUGCCAGCAGACGCGGUCAUACGGAGGAUCCGAGCGUUAUCCGGAUUUAUUGGGUUUACAGGGAGCGUCGAUGUGUUGUUAAUUCAGUUGUGCUAGUUUGCGGCUCACCCGUAAAAUUGCAGUUGAAACUGGAAGUCUUGAGUACAGUUGAGGUAGGCGGAAUUCGUGGUGUAGCGGUGAAAUGCUUAGAUAUCACGAAGAACCCCGAUUGCGAAGGCAGCUUACUAAACUGUAACUGACAUUGAUGCUCGAAAGUGUGGGUAUCAAACAGGAUUAGAUACCCUGGUAGUC